AUGCCAAGAUUGCAGCAGACUUCAG
rnacentral:piRNA from 1 species